ACUUACUUCUCAACAAAAUCCAGCAAACUAUAACAGAUCAGUAGUUAUUAACCAGGGGCAAUUUUGUCCCCAGGGACAGUAUCAGGAGACAUUUUUAAUUGUCACAACUGGCAGUGCUGAGGAGUGGCUCUGGUGUCCAGUGGGUAGGGGCCUUGGAUGCUGCUAAACAUCCUACAAAGUACAGGACAGCCUCCCACAACAAAGAAUGAUCCCACCCAAAAGGCUAAUAGUACCAACAAUGGGAAUCCUUGGCACAGACCUAGGUAUAGUAAGUCUGAAAAAGCCAGGAUCUACAUGCAGCCAGGCCUCCAUAUCUGCAGGUUCCACAUCAGCAGAUUCAACCAACUGUGGAUCAAAAAUAUUUGGAGAAAAAUAAAAACAAUAAAAAUAACAAUA
rnacentral:sRNA from 1 species